AUUCUGAAAAAGGAUUGUGUCCCUGUGUAAGUGUUGACUCUCAACUUGCACAUGUGAUUUUUUAGCAGUCCCCGGACUUCUGCAAAAAACAAUUAUUCAGUUCACUGAUUAAGAUGGAAGGGCAAGAACAUGAAAGAUAAAGGGGAAACUAUAAACAGAAGAAAUUAUCAACAAAAUAAGAUUUACAGAGGUCAACAAAGCCUAAAUGGUCAGGCAUCCCAAUUUUCAUGGUCAUCAUUCACAGAUCAAUACUGAACGGAAAACUUAAAGCUGAUAUUUUUCUCCAUGGUGCGACUUUUUUAUUAAUUUGAAAUGGAACAUGUUUUUUCCUACAUUUAUUUGAAAGAGGAAAUUUCAACAUGAUGACUAUAAACAAAAAGGAGUCAUAUCAUCACGAUCAUUGAUGCACAAGAACUUGAUCAUAUAAAUACAACAAUGUAAUUAUCAAUUGAAAGAUGGAACGAAUGAACAAGAUAUUAGAAUGUUGUUGUCCAAAUAAAGUUGCUUUGUCUUCUCAUUUGAAUCUCUCCAUUCAAUAAAGAUGUACAGAAGAAGAUCUUUGAAGAACAGAUUGAAAACAUAUUUUGUCUAAGAAUUGCAGGAAUAUUCUAGUGAAUGAAAUAUAUUGACUUCACUCUUAUAUAGUGGACUGAAUAAUUGUACAUAGCAAGCUGUGAAUAAAGAAAGCAAAAACUUUAACAAAAAGUGUUUAUAUUAUAAAUUUGCAAAUAUAAGCAUACUAUUAUGUACAUCACAAAGGUAUAUAUAAUUCAAAUUGUUUGCCUAUACAAGUAUUGCAAUGAACCUAUAACAAAGAAAAUCUUACCUCAUGAAAAGAGUGAACUAUUCAGUCAGAAUAUGAAAUAUUUUUUCAGUUCUAUUUUUCAUAAUAGAAUAAACAAGACAAAGAUUUCAAAACAAUAUUUUUUCAUUUAUUUAGAAAUUUCAUCAUUUUG